UAUUUUCACUUCCCAUUGUAGCUAGUCUGAGCCCAAGCCCACUCUCUGUCUGUUUCUUCUCCUCUCCCGAUUCCCACCCACAUCGCCGCCGCCGCCUCACCCACCGGCCACCUCGUCGCCGUGCUACCCACAGCCGCCCACCCUCCCUGCCCUCCCCUCACCACCUUCUCUCCCUUGGCGGAAGGAUCCCCUUCGACUCCCGUCGCCAUUCCUGACGACCCCGAAAUCUCCUCUCCUCGAGUUCAGAUCCGCACCACUCCAACCUACAGGCGAUGGCGUCGGCGAGGCUGGCCCCGAACGGCGUGGGGGCGGCGCUGGCGGGGGACACGAACCUCAAGCCCGUCGCGCACAUCUUCGCCGGGCAACUCAGCUACCUCCGCGGCACCGUCGUGCAGCUCGUCGAGUAGGACGGAGAUGCUCCUCCACAGUCGCUGCUGCACCGGGAGAGGAGGAGUACCUGAGUUAACCUGAGUUGUACUUACUAAUGAAGACGAACUCAAACCAUUCAAAACUAUUAAACUGAGCGCAUCCACUUAGACUCUUGCUUAGAAAAGAAACUUCCUUUUGCUAUGUUCUUGUUCUGCCUCUGAUCUUAAUUUGUUAUGAAAUUUGGAGGCUGCAGUGAUGCCUUUCUCGUUAACCUGAGACGUGCUCACUAAUGCAGAACAUUCAAAAUUAUUAAACUUAGUGCCUCCACUUCUACUUUUGCUUAGAAGAGACCCAUUUUUUGCUGUGUUCCCUUUCUGUUUAUGAUCUUUUUUUACGAAAUAUAGAGGGUGUGGUGAUAUGUUUCUCUUUGACCUGACCUUUUUGAUCUGUUGCUUCCCUGUUUCUGAUCUAAGUUUGUUACAAAAUCUGCUGGCUGCGGUGAUGUUUUUCUCGUUAACCUGAGAUGUGCUUACUGAUGAAGACAAACUCAAACCAUUCAAAAGUAUUAAACUGGGCGCCUCCAUUUCUAUUGUUGCUUAAGGAAAAAGAAUUAUUUUGCUCUGGCCCUUUUCUGUUUCUGAUCUAAGUUUGUUUCUACAUUUGGAGGCUGCGGUGAUGUUUUUCUCGUUAACCUGAUGUAUGUGCUUACUAGUGAAGACAAGCUCAAACCAUUCAAAAUUAUUAAACUGAGCACCUCCACUUCUACUCUUGCUUAUUUGGCUUCAAGUUCAUUUUUGCAAGUUCCGCUUUAGUAUUUGGUUAGGCACUUGUAAUCCCGCCAGUUUUUCUCCUCUGGUUGUUUGGUUCUAAAAGCCACCUGCACUGUUGGAUAUGGUAUCCCUGGUUACUAUUUUAGUAUUGCAGUAGCUAGGAUCUCGUUAAAGUUCAUGUGGAGGCAUCUUGUUUGUCAAUGCAUAGUUUUCUUUGCUAUCUAUCUGUUUGUGCUUUAUUUUUGGGAUUUGAGGCUGUAGUGAUGGUCUGUUGUGAUAAUUAGUGUCACUGUUUCUCUUCUGCUCUGUGUGUCCACGGCCAUCAUGCCGUGGUAAUGUCCACAGCCAUCGUGCCGUGGUAAGUUCGCCAUGGCAAUUUCUAGUUUUUUUGGGCUGUGGUGGUGCUCACCGUUUGAGUGGAUUUAGCCCCUGAGAUCUAAUUUAGGUGUGUUUUUAUCAAUUAGUGGAAACUAGACUUGGAACUCGUAUUUACUGUUACAUCUGCUUGUUUUCAAUUUAUUGCCUAUGAUUGAUGAACAUAGUCGACGUUCUCUGAUUUGUUUUGGUCUACUUGCAUGUGAAAGCUGCAUACCAAGCAUUUUCUCUGUUAGACAUGUCUCACAUUAUGCUCCACUGCAUCGUUUGCUUUUACUAAUUCUCCACACAAAUGAUUAUUUUGGAUGGACUCCAAAGUGUGAUCCAGUUUCUAGUUUGAUCUCUUCUUUUUGUUAUGUAUAAAACAUGAUCCAAAGUGUUUUAGAUUGCCUCAUGGUUUUGGCUUCUUUGUUGCCCUAUUAUUUGUUUGAGCUUAUUAUCCAUGGAAGAACCUUUUUGAUUGCUGAGUGCACAAGCUCUUCUAAAGCUUUGUUUCCUAUGACUCUUGCCCUUUUACAGCAAUUUUAUUUUCGGAAUUACUAUACUAUAGAUACUUCAUGCUAUGAAAAUCCUACCUCUUUGUUUUAUCAAAACUAAGUGGUUAUUUUAGAUUUAUUAUGUAGCUUGUAAACAAAAAACUACUUCUGCCUUGGACUUUUCUUCUGACCCUGCCUCUUUUGCAUUGUAAAAUCUACUCCCUCCGUCCCAUAAUAUAAGAUCGUUUUACAAGCUAAAGCAGCUUGCAGAACAAUCUUAUAGUAUGGGACGGAGGGAGUAGUUUUCAAACAUCAUUCCGUGAGAAAGGUGAUAUUUUUCUUGUCUUUUGGAACUACUUGCGCACUUAUCUAAUAUUUUUGUUUUCCUUGCAGCCUUAACACUUGUAUGUAAGCGUGGAGAGAGUUUGAUGGUGAUCAGGGGGUGGUAGUACAUUUGUAGCUGUAGCCAACACUUGGUUUUGUAUUUGGCACAAGUGGAGAGGUGCGUCGAUGACCCGUUGAUAUUCAGUUGCUGGGCAUCGUCCCCGUCAUGGCAUCCGUCUUCCAGCACACCAACGAGUGGUCGUCGCAGACGAUAUUGAUGAGGGCAUGCUUUCUGGUGCUUCUGCUUGCGGCCAGACAUGUGAGCAUGAGAUGGCCAAAGUUUUUCUGGAUCUCAGUGUGUGCUCCCUUGGCGUCCGUCAUCGUAUCCACCCUGCUCGUCUUCCUGUUCAAAGCGCAGAACCAUGCCAUCAGCAUCGUAGGAGAACAACAAAGACUGAGCUUCCGCCGCAGAUUAGGUCACUUAAAUGUGGCUUGAAUUGCCCCUCGUGGGACAAACUGCUCUUCGAUCUGACAUAUCUUGGACUUGCCAUGAAGACCGGCCUCGCCUCGUCACCGGAAUCAUCUCCCCUACAGAAGGAGUAGCAGUCGGUAUUUGCUUCAAUCAAGGACUACCAGGUGGAUGGCAACAAAGAGAUGAUGGCCACUGGGUUGAUGAGCAUUGUGGGCUCAUCUCCAGGAGAGGUGCGUCGAUGACCCGUCGAUAUUCAGUUGCUGAAGAAGGAAAGAUGGUGGUGAGUAGCAAGACGAAAUCAUUCACGGCUUAGUUAGUUUGUCAUGGUGUCAGAAUAGCUGAGUUGCUGUCGUGUUAAAUUUUUGUUGUGGAACAUAUCUCUCGCAGUUGGUAGUCUUGACUUUUUGUUCAUCACAAUCCUUAUUCGUCCAUUGCCAUAUAACUCUUUUAUACUGUUAUGCUGCUGGAAAUUUUAGCCAGAAAA